CCCUUAGAGUUUGAUCCUGGCUCAGAACGAACGCUGGCGGCGCGCCUAAUACAUGCAAGUCGAGCGAGAAGACGUAGCAAUACGUUUGUAAAGCGGCGAACGGGUGAGGAAUACAUGGGUAACCUACCCUCGAGUGGGGAAUAACUAGCCGAAAGGUUAGCUAAUACCGCAUACGACUCUUGGUCUGCGGAUCGAGAGGGAAAGCGAUACCGUGGGUAUCGCGCUCUUGGAUGGGCUCAUGUCCUAUCAGCUUGUUGGUGAGGUAACGGCUCACCAAGGCUUCGACGGGUAGCUGGUCUGAGAGGACGAUCAGCCACACUGGCACUGCGACACGGGCCAGACUCCUACGGGAGGCAGCAGUAAGGAAUAUUGCGCAAUGGGCGACAGCCUGACGCAGCGACGCCGCGUGGGGGAUGAAGGUCUUCGGAUUGUAAACCCCUUUCGGCAGGGAAGAUGGAACGGGAAACCGUUCGGACGGUACCUGCAGAAGCAGCCACGGCUAACUUCGUGCCAGCAGCCGCGGUAAUACGAAGGUGGCAAGCGUUGUUCGGAUUUACUGGGCGUACAGGGAGCGUAGGCGGUUGGGUAAGCCCUCCGUGAAAUCUCCGGGCCUAACCCGGAAAGUGCGGAGGGGACUGCUCGGCUAGAGGAUGGGAGAGGAGCGCGGAAUUCCCGGUGUAGCGGUGAAAUGCGUAGAGAUCGGGAGGAAGCCGGUGGCGAAGCGGCGCUCUGGAACAUUUCUGACGCUGAGCUCGAAAGCGUGGGGAGCAAACAGAUAGAUACCUGGUAGUCACGCCUUAACGAUGGAUACUAAGUGUCGCGGG
rnacentral:rRNA from 1 species